rnacentral:rRNA from 1 species
GACGUAGGGCGCGAGCGUUAAUCGGAAUUACUGGGCGUAAAGCGCGCGUAGGCGGCUUUGCAAGUCGAGUGUGAAAUCCCCAGGCUUAACCUGGGAACUGCAUUCGAGACUGCAUAGCUAGAGUAUGGGAGAGGGAAGUGGAAUUUCAGGUGUAGCGGUGAAAUGCGUAGAUAUCUGAAGGAACAUCAGUGGCGAAAGCGACUUCCUGGACCAAUACUGACGCUCAUGUGCGAAAGCGUGGGGAGCAAACAGG